GAGUAGUUCAGUGGUAGAACACCACCUUGCCAAGGUGGGGGUCGCGGGUUCGAAUCCCGUCUCGGGCGAAAGCCC
rnacentral:tRNA from 2 species